rnacentral:rRNA from 1 species
ACGUAGGCAGCGAGCGUUGUUCGGAGUUACUGGGCGUAAAGAGUGCGUAGGCGGUUUCGUAAGUUUGGUGUGAAAUCUCCCGGCUUAACUGGGAGGGUGCGCCGAAAACUGCGGGGCUUGAGAGUGGGAGAGGUAAGCGGAAUUCCUGGUGUAGCGGUGAAAUGCGUAGAUAUCAGGAGGAACACCAGCGGUGUAGACGGCUUACUGGACCACGACUGACGCUGAGGCACGAAAGCGUGGGGAGCAAACAGGA